rnacentral:rRNA from 1 species
UGAGGAAUAUUGGGCAAUGCCCGCAAGGGUGACCCAGCAACGCCGCGUGGAGGAUGAAUGUCGUAAGAUUGUAAACUCCUGUUAGAGGGGAAGAAUAGUACCGGUUGGACCGGUAUAUGACUGUACCCUCAGAGAAAGCCCCGGCUAACUACGUGCCAGCAGCCGCGGUAAUACGUAGGGGGCAAGCGUUGUCCGGAUUUACUGGGAGUACAGGGCGCGCAGGCGGGAUAAAAAGUCAGUGGUGAAAUCCUACAGCUUAACUGUAGAACUGCCUUUGAUACUUUUAGUCUUCAGUGCGGGAGAGAGAGACGGAAUGCCAGAUGUAGUGGUGAAAAACGUAGAUAUCUGGAAGAACACCAGUUGCGAAGGCGGUCUCUUGGUCCGACACUGACGCUGAGGCGCGAAAGCGUGGGGAGCAAACA